rnacentral:lncRNA from 1 species
CACAUGGCCAGCCCUAAUUUCUUAAUCCAAACCUAAUCACACACAAAUACACAAUCACGCUGCCUACAAUAGAUUUGGUCAUCUGCUGUGCUGCUUGCCGACAACAAAUUGCUGCUCUUCGUCUUCGUCUUCGUCUUCGUCCUCAUCCCCGAUCUCUAGCUUGCUGGCUAUUCCCAUUUCCUUUUGUUUCGCAACUUAAUGGUUGUUGCCGGUAGCCUGCUACCUUCUUCAACUCCGAGCUAUAGCUAAUGCCUUCUUAAUUUAGAUUUUCUUCAAGUUCGAGUUGCUGCUACUGUAUUCUUUUGUGAGAGGUAAGCUGAUGGGUUCUUUCAUUUGUACACUAGGGUUUGGGGUUCUCUGAUCAGAAUAUAUCGGCUGGUCUGGUGAUUGCUCAACCGCCGUCGAUUUUUGAGGUGCCGCCCAGGUUGAGCCCCGCAAUUCUACUUGACUCGCUAAAUUUCAGUUUGUUUUCGCCUACACAGGUAAUUCAAUUUAACUUUGUCUGACCUAAAGUUUCUUCAUUUAUUCAUUAGAUUUUAGCUUGUUUAGGAAAGCUUUCAUUUUUAUUGGGUUUCGCAUUUAAAUUCUAAUAAUCCUUGGGUUUGAAUUUUGAUUUUUUUUUUUUUGGAGGGAUGGAAAAUUUUCUUCAUUGCCUUGAUUUGUUAGCAGUCGGUUGGAAUUUUGAAUUAGAGCUUGCUGAAGCAUUUAUUAUAGAAUUUAUAAAUGUGCCCUGUAAUUGGGAUAAAAACUCUUGACUUAAUUAAUCUGACAGAAGAACAUUUUGAGCAAUGUUGUAAUGUGAUUGUGCAUUGCUGAGAUAAUCUCAUCUUGUUUUGGUAUUCUAACCAAUAAAAAAAAAUUUAAGUGUUGGACUCCCCUUCGGCUUCACAUGGCAAGCCCUAAUUUCUUAAUCCAAACCUAAUCACACACAAAUACACAAUCACGCUGCCUACAAUAGAUUUGGUCAUCUGCUGUGCUGCUUGCCGACAACAAAUUGCUGCUCUUCGUCUUCGUCUUCGUCUUCGUCCUCAUCCCCGAUCUCUAGCUUGCUGGCUAUUCCCAUUUCCUUUUGUUUCGCAACUUAAUGGUUGUUGCCGGUAGCCUGCUACCUUCUUCAACUCCGAGCUAUAGCUAAUGCCUUCUUAAUUUAGAUUUUCUUCAAGUUCGAGUUGCUGCUACUGUAUUCUUUUGUGAGAGGUAAGCUGAUGGGUUCUUUCAUUUGUACACUAGGGUUUGGGGUUCUCUGAUCAGAAUAUAUCGGCUGGUCUGGUGAUUGCUCAACCGCCGUCGAUUUUUGAGGUGCCGCCCAGGUUGAGCCCCGCAAUUCUGCUUGACUCGCUAAAUUUCAGUUUGUUUUCGCCUACACAGGUAAUUCAAUUUAACUUUGUCUGACCUAAAGUUUCUUCAUUUAUUCAUUAGAUUUUAGCUUGUUUAGGAAAGCUUUCAUUUUUAUUGGGUUUCGCAUUUAAAUGCUAAUAAUCCUUGGGUUUGAAUUUUGAUUUUUUUUUUUUUGGAGGGAUGGAAAAUUUUCUUCAUUGCCUUGAUUUGUUAGCAGUCGGUUGGAAUUUUGAAUUAGAGCUUGCUGAAGCAUUUAUUAUAGAAUUUAUAAAUGUGCCCUGUAAUUGGGAUAAAAACUCUUGACUUAAUUAAUCUGACAGAAGAACAUUUUGAGCAAUGUUGUAAUGUGAUUGUGCAUUGCUGAGAUAAUCUCAUCUUGUUUUGGUAUUCUAAGUAUCCAAAUGGACUGGAUAGUAGGCUAUCCAGGUCAAGUUUUAAUGGUAAUUGGGCAUUUUUCUUUCCUGAUUUUAGUUUCAUCUCUUUUUAGAUGAAGCAUAUGGUUAAUGCAAACAAUUAACGAAAGAAAAGCUCUUGGUAUUACUAGUGUUGGAGAUCCAAUUGUCUUCAUGUAAACUGUGAACACUUUUAACUCCCAUAUCUAAGAUAUAGAGAUCUUUAUGUAGCUUUAAGCCAAAUAUGUGAGAAAUUCUCCAAUCUAGUCACAACUUUAUUAGCAACCAAGAAUGAAAGAGUAUUAGCUUCCAGUUAUAAUUUGAUGACCGGAGCUUGAAUGAGUGAGUGAUAACUUGUAUUGUCUAUAUUGCUUUGUAUGUCAUGCCUCACUGGCAUUAUGUUACUUGGGUAUCCAAAUUUUGCGUUUAUCUAUUACUAAUUUCCCUGAUUCAUUGGAUGCAACCUAGGGAGCCUUUAGAAUGAAGCACUAGCAGGCCCUAGCACAGGUCACUGCCCAAGCUG